AAGAGGAAAGGCCAAGCCCCGGCAUCAGCCAAGGCAGGAGCUCCCUGUCCCCAGGCCAGGACCUGCCAUCCCGCCCCGGCACCGCUCCGACUCGGCGUGGAGCCCCACAGACGGCACCGAGCCGGGGCAGCCACCGCCUGUCCCAAACGCCCUCCGGCCCCGCUCCACCAGCACCCCCGUCCCCACGGGACCUCACCACUGGCCCAGACCAGACAAAUGUCUGUAUUUUAAGGACUUUGCUUGGCACAACUGAAGCUCCUUCAUUGUUAAUGCAUGCAAUAAGCAAGCAGGAUCACUGGAGACCGAUCCAUCACCAGCACCACAGAGCCCGGAAGAUUUAGAGCCUUGCAUGGCACUGCUGCUCCCCAGAAAUCAAUGUGCAGUGUCAAUGUAAAUAUUUUAUAGCCACUGCAACCUACAGACUUAAUCUGAUCAGUCUGUGAAUAAAUCAGAGUUUGAAGGAGAUGAAGUUCCAAAUUAAAUGUAUUUACAAUUUUGAUUUCAAAGCAACAUCAGCUGGGCAAGUCUGGCUUUAAAAAAAAAAACCAUCACAGAGAGAGGCUGCGGGCGCGGGGACGUCCGUCUGUCUCCCUGUUCCCGCAGACAGCUCUCUGGCGCGGCGGUGAAGGAUGCCACAGGCUAACAGCAGCUCACACCGCUUUGCUUCUCUAAUGGAGAAAAAUCCAGUCGCCACCUGGGUCUGUCUGACCCUCGUCCCCAGCGCUGAGGCUCCGCCACGGUGGCCUCUGGCUCCGAGGCACCGGUGGCCGUGGCCGUACGGCGGCAGCGUGCCCUGCGCUCGCCCGGGUUUAUCGUCCCCGCGCUGAGCCCUGCGGUACCAACACCUGAACUCCUGAGUACAGCGGGGAAAACCCCUGAAGUGCCGCUAUAAAUGAUCUCCCUACAAAUCAGAAACAGCAUCGCCCACAGCAGGACCCAGCUCUGGGUCCUUUCAUCACCAGCAGGAAAUCUGAUGGCACGCCAGGUUUUUUUUUUAAAUAAGAAAAGCGACAGCAAGGAGCGGCCGGAAGAUCUGAGCGGGCUGCGGAGAGCAGCUGACGCCAGGACUCAUCUCGCUGCACCACGGCGGGUUUGCUCCCUCCGGGGCCGCAGCUCCCUUCCAGGGGCUGUGUCCUUCUGUC